rnacentral:tRNA from 1 species
AAGUUACUAAAUAACUCUUUCUUAUAUUUUCAAAAUACAUGCUUUAUUGAAUAAGCUAAGUAACUA